rnacentral:rRNA from 2 species
CAGUCGAACGAACUCUGGUAUUGAUUGGUGCUUGCAUCAUGAUUUACAUUUGAGUGAGUGGCGAACUGGUGAGUAACACGUGGGAAACCUGCCCAGAAGCGGGGGAUAACACCUGGAAACAGAUGCUAAUACCGCAUAACAACUUGGACCGCAUGGUCCGAGCUUGAAAGAUGGCUUCGGCUAUCACUUUUGGAUGGUCCCGCGGCGUAUUAGCUAGAUGGUGGGGUAACGGCUCACCAUGGCAAUGAUACGUAGCCGACCUGAGAGGGUAAUCGGCCACAUUGGGACUGAGACACGGCCCAAACUCCUACGGGAGGCAGCAGUAGGGAAUCUUCCACAAUGGACGAAAGUCUGAUGGAGCAACGCCGCGUGAGUGAAGAAGGGUUUCGGCUCGUAAAACUCUGUUGUUAAAGAAGAACAUAUCUGAGAGUAACUGUUCAGGUAUUGACGGUAUUUAACCAGAAAGCCACGGCUAACUACGUGCCAGCAGCCGCGGUAAUACGUAGGUGGCAAGCGUUGUCCGGAUUUAUUGGGCGUAAAGCGAGCGCAGGCGGUUUUUUAAGUCUGAUGUGAAAGCCUUCAGCUCAACCGAAGAAGUGCAUCGGAAACUGGGAAACUUGAGUGCAGAAGAGGACAGUGGAACUCCAUGUGUAGCGGUGAAAUGCGUAGAUAUAUGGAAGAACACCAGUGGCGAAGGCGGCUGUCUGGUCUGUAACUGACGCUGAGGCUCGAAAGUAUGGGUAGCAAACAGGAUUAGAUACCCUGGUAGUCCAUACCGUAAACGAUGAAUGCUAAGUGUUGGAGGGUUUCCGCCCUUCAGUGCUGCAGCUAACGCAUUAAGCAUUCCGCCUGGGGAGUACGGCCGCAAGGCUGAAACUCAAAGGAAUUGACGGGGGCCCGCACAAGCGGUGGAGCAUGUGGUUUAAUUCGAAGCUACGCGAAGAACCUUACCAGGUCUUGACAUACUAUGCAAAUCUAAGAGAUUAGACGUUCCCUUCGGGGACAUGGAUACAGGUGGUGCAUGGUUGUCGUCAGCUCGUGUCGUGAGAUGUUGGGUUAAGUCCCGCAACGAGCGCAACCCUUAUUAUCAGUUGCCAGCAUUAAGUUGGGCACUCUGGUGAGACUGCCGGUGACAAACCGGAGGAAGGUGGGGAUGACGUCAAAUCAUCAUGCCCCUUAUGACCUGGGCUACACACGUGCUACAAUGGAUGGUACAACGAGUUGCGAACUCGCGAGAGUAAGCUAAUCUCUUAAAGCCAUUCUCAGUUCGGAUUGUAGGCUGCAACUCGCCUACAUGAAGUCGGAAUCGCUAGUAAUCGCGGAUCAGCAUGCCGCGGUGAAUACGUUCCCGGGCCUUGUACACACCGCCCGUCACACCAUGAGAGUUUGUAACACCCAAAGUCGGUGGGGUAACCUUUUAGAACCAGC